GUGAAAGUGCGGCUGGAGUGUGAGGGUGGAAAGGUCAGGCUGUGACAGGCUGGUGGUUUUUUUUCUUCAGUAGAAAGGGCUUUGCUAUUGCAGAGUCCUGGCCGACAGAGGUGACACGUAUUAACCUUUCAGCACUUGCAUAAAGGAUGGUGCUGGGGCUCAUUUUCCAGUUUUAAAAGAGCUGAGCGAGGCUCUUUCAGGCCUGUGACAGAGAGGGAGUGGGCGUAGGAGCAAGGUCAGGACAAUGCUUCCUAAGCGGAUGGAAAUGCUUCCCUGUGGUGCCUAAUUAGUCUGUUCCAGCACAGAAAUCCUCCCCCUGCACCAGUCCCGACCUGGGAGUUCUCCCUGGUCCCUGGGGCAGUCCAGCUUUAGGGCAGUGGCUACUUUGGCUCCUGUUCUGGCCCUCCUGAUCCCCUUGCAGAGAAGGCCGUAGGACUGAGGCACAUCAAACAAACACCAUCCUUCCUGCUGCCAUCCCAGAGCAGUGCCUCUCCUCUCCAUCACAGCAACCCCAGCCACCCAAGGCUGAUUCCAUGUUAAGUUUUAUGAAUGGCAUGGGUAAGUCUCUGCCACACACAAAAACCUCUUUGUUGUGCACUAAAACAUUUGAAGAAUGAUUUGUUAGUUACUAAAUAUUCAAAUUUAUGUAUUUCUUUUUCAAGCAUCAAUUUCUUCCCCAGUCAUCCAGAGUAGGAACUUUACUGGAGUCCAAGGAACCAACUCCUGCUCUUGAGAUCUCAGUGAGCAGCAGGACUCACCCUCCUUAAGAAGUCAGGAGCAGGCAAGGAAUGCAGCCAGGUUUGGCUCUCCCUCUGUCUGUCCUGGGCUGCAGUGCCUCCCUGGCUGCCCCUCCUUGCAUCAUACACCUGAUUCAUCAAACCUCAGGGAGGGCAGGCACAGCCCAGUGCUGCAAUCCCUGCAGGAAUUCAUGGAGUCACGGAAUGCUUUGGGUUGGGAGGAAUCAUCCAGUUCCACCCCCUGCCAUGGGCAGGGACACCUUCCACUAUCCCAGGUUGCUCCAAGCCCCGUCCAACCUGGCCUGGAACAUUUCCAGGGAUGGGGAAGCCACAGCUUCUCUGAGCAGGCACUCACAUAGUGAGUCAGGUACUCACAGAGGGAGAAAUUUCACCUUUACUAAGUAGUGCAUCCCAGAACACUGGCAGAGAAUUGUAUUUUUCCAGAAAUGAUAUUACAGCUGCAGUAACUCCCAGAUCUGGGGGAAAAAAAAAUCCAAGCAUAACAUAUGAUGUUCGGCCACUGGGGUGAGUUCCCUGUUGCUUUUAUCUUUUCCAGGAAAAAGGUGAUGCAUUUCGAUCUUCAUCUUCAAGGUGGUAGAACCCAGCAAAACCCUGUCUCCAUAUUCACACUCUCUUCCUCUGUGAGACCUGUGUGGACAGCCUUCCCUCAAUGCCUAAAGAGAGGAAAGUUAAAAGCCCACACCAUGGGCCUGAGGAGAAAUCAGGCAGCUGGACUGAGGCAACACUGGAAUAAUCCCUG
rnacentral:lncRNA from 13 species